GAAGGCCCUAGGGUUGUAAAGCACUUUAAGUUGGGAAGAAAAGUUAUUGGUUAAUACCCAAUAACCGUGACAUUACCUUCAGAAUAAGGACCGGCUAAUUCCGUGCCAGCAGCCGCGGUAAUACGGAAGGUCCAAGCGUUAAUCGGAAUUACUGGGCGUAAAGCGCGCGUAGGUGGUUUAUUAAGUUGGAUGUGAAAUCCCCGGGCUCAACCUGGGAACUGCAUCCAAAACUGAUUCACUAGAGUACGAUAGAGGGAGGUAGAAUUCACAGUGUAGCGGUGGAAUGCGUAGAUAUUGUGAAGAAUACCAAUGGCGAAGGCAGCCUCCUGGAUCUGUACUGACACUAAGGUGCGAAAGCGUGGGUAGCGAACAGGAUUAGAUACCCUGGUAGUCCACGCCGUAAACGAUGUCAACUAGCUGUUGGGAAACAAUGUUUUUCAGUGGCGCAGCUAACGUAG
rnacentral:rRNA from 1 species